rnacentral:rRNA from 1 species
AAAGGAAUAGACGGGGACCCGCACAAGCGGUGGAUGAUGUGGUUUAAUUCGAUGCAACGCGAAAAACCUUACCUACCCUUGACAUGUACGGAAGUUUCCAGAGAUGGAUUCGUGCCCGAAAGGGAGCCGUAACACAGGUGCUGCAUGGCUGUCGUCAGCUCGUGUCGUGAGAUGUUGGGUUAAGUCCCGCAACGAGCGCAACCCUUGCCAUUAGUUGCUACAUUCAGUUGAGCACUCUAAUGGGACUGCCGGUGACAAACCGGAGGAAGGUGGGGAUGACGUCAAGUCCUCAUGGCCCUUAUGGGUAGGGCUACACACGUCAUACAAUGGCUGGUACAAAGGGUUGCCAACCCGCGAGGGGGAGCCAAUCCCGUAAAGCCAGUCGUAGUCCGGAUCGCAGUCUGCAACUCGACUGCGUGAAGUCGGAAUCGCUAGUAAUCGUGGAUCAGAAUGUCACGGUGAAUACGUUCCCGGGUCUUGUACACACCGCCCGU